GACGUAGGGCGCGAGCGUUGUCCGGAAUUAUUGGGCGUAAAGAGCUCGUAGGCGGUGUGUCACGUCGGCCGUGAAAACCUGCAGCUUAACUGUGGGCGUGCGGUCGAUACGGGCAGACUAGAGGUAUGCAGGGGAGAACGGAAUUCCUGGUGUAGCGGUGAAAUGCGCAGAUAUCAGGAGGAACACCGGUGGCGAAGGCGGUUCUCUGGGCAUUACCUGACGCUGGAGGAGCGAAAGCAUGGGGAGCGAACAGG
rnacentral:rRNA from 1 species